GUGAACGCUGGCGGUAGGCCUAACACAUGCCAGUCGAACGGCAGCACAGUGAGAGCUUGCUCUUACGGGUGGCGAGUGGCGGACGGGUGAGGAAUACAUCGGAAUCUACUUUUUCGUGGGGGAUAACGUAGGGAAACUUACGCUAAUACCGCAUACGACCUACGGGUGAAAGCAGGGGAUCUUCGGACCUUGCGCGAUUGAAUGAGCCGAUGUCGGAUUAGCUAGUUGGCGGGGUAAAGGCCCACCAAGGCGACGAUCCGUAGCUGGUCUGAGAGGAUGAUCAGCCACACUGGAACUGAGACACGGUCCAGACUCCUACGGGAGGCAGCAGUGGGGAAUAUUGGACAAUGGGCGCAAGCCUGAUCCAGCCAUACCGCGUGGGUGAAGAAGGCCUUCGGGUUGUAAAGCCCUUUUGUUGGGAAAGAAAAGCAGCAGGUUAAUACCCCGCUGUUCUGACGGUACCCAAAGAAUAAGCACCGGCUAACUUCGUG
rnacentral:rRNA from 1 species